UACGGGGGGGGCAAGCGUUGUUCGGAAUUACUGGGCGUAAAGGGUCUGUAGGUGGCUUGCUAAGUCAGACGUGAAAUCCCUCAGCUUAACUGGGGAACUGCGUCUGAGACUGGCGAGCUUGAGUGCAGGAGAGGAACGCGGAAUUCCAGGUGUAGCGGUGAAAUGCGUAGAUAUCUGGAGGAACACCGGUGGCGAAGGCGGCGUUCUGGACUGCAACUGACAUUGAGAGACGAAAGCCAGGGGAGCAAACGGG
rnacentral:rRNA from 1 species